AGGACUGAAACUUGGAAUGAUGAGAAAUGUCUUUAAGUGCCUUAAGUUUUCAGAGGCCAGAGCCAGUUAUUAAAGCAUCAUGAAAUAUAAACUAAGAAGUACUUCAGUUGAAGAAGGUGACAGGACAACAGUCUUUGGUCCAAGAUCAUCAUUGUACCCCAGUAACUUCUGUGCACAGAGCUGGUGAUGUGAAGACAGUCUUGAGCUCAGCUCUUCCAGAGGACUGCAAAAUGACCCAGCAAUUAGCCAUCUCUCCAGCUGACAGAUUGCAGAGGAAGAAGCUGUGUGAGUAGCAAGCAGACUGCUGCAGGAGUUCCUGGGUUGGGAUCUCUGGCCUCCCAUACCGUGGUGCUGAGCUGACCAAAACCAGCCACUGUCUUGCAUCCUGGGCCUCACCAUGAGGUCCUCUUCCACAGGACAUGCUGGUUUUACUCCAGCCUUGCACUAUGCUGUCUCACUCUCUAACAUGUUGGAAACAACCAUCCCCUUUUUCUGAGUUAGGAGGCUACAAUGGCCCAGAAGUGACAGAGGCAUGGGAAGGGGGCUUCUGGAGCUGGGGGAGAGCAGGGCUGUUCUUGGACUGGCACAGGCCACCACCAACAUGCAGUUGGACGAGGUGGCUGAAAUUGUUUGCUGCAUCCUCAAGCGAUGGUCCUGCUCCCCAAUGCUGCCCUUCUCUCUGUGCUUCUCUCUCUUUCCUCCCUCCUGUCGUGGCUGUGACAUCAAAUCUCCCUCCUGCUCCUCAGCUUUGCCUCUUGUUUCAACCCAUGUGAUACAAUUUGACUCACUAAUCCAGCAAAAAGUUUUACACUUUUUUUUUGCUGGGCUGCAUUUCUGCUAGGUCCUUGAGUUGGUCCAACUCAGUAGUGGACUGGAGAGGCAGCAGAAGGACUACUGGAGAGCGGUAGGUAGGUGAGUGCUGCCAGGAGAUAUGGAGAACAAAGGGCUGGGACCUUCUCUGUUCAGUGGCAGCAAGCUCUGUAACGCAUCAACAUCUGUCACAUCUGGUGGCUUCCUGAGUGUGAAAAUGCUGACUUUCAGCCGCUGAGGAGCAAAAUCAUUUGAUGCUGAAGUUUUUUGACCUCAUUAAUGUUUAUAAAUAUGUAAAGGGUGAGUGUCAUGAGGAUGGAGCCAGGCUCUUCUUGGUGACAACCAAUGAUAGGACAAAGGGCAAUGGAUACAAACUGGAGCACAGGAGGUUCCAGUUAAAUACGAGAAGAAACUUCUUCUCAGUGAGGGUAACAGAACACUGGAACAGGCUGCCCAGGGAGGCUGUGGAGUCUCCUUCUCUGGAGACAUUCAAAACCCACCUGGUCACAUUCCUGUGUAACCUCAUCUAGGUGUUCCUGCUCCAGCAGGAGGAUUGGACUAGAUGAUCUUUUGAGGUCCCUUCCAAUCCCUGACAUUCUGUGAUUCUGUGAUUCUCCUUAAGUUAGUUUCCCCAGUGAGAGCUGCCUAUAAAAGAGGGCCUCAAAUGGACCCUUGCAAGGAUAGUCCUGAUCCUUUCUUAGUCAGUGAAACUACCCCGAAGUGUGCUACCAGCUCUAGCUAUAGUACAGCUACCUUAGAAGUAGUUUUUGUUUUACAACCACACGAAAGUUGCUGCAAGAUUUAUAUUUCUCUUGAAGAAGACAAAUAGUUAAUUUGAUGUAUUCUGUUAAGAUCUGCUGAGUAUUUUGACACUUUCAUUUUUUUUUUUCUUAUUUAAUUUUCACAUUUUAAAUGCAUAAUAUGAAAACUAAACCUCUCUUUUGGCUGAGAGGUAGCACAAGACCCUGAGCAAUGGCCCAGGUGGAAAAGUUCUCAGGCAAGAAGUCUUUCUGUUGCUCAGCUCUCCCCUUGGCAACCUCUCUCUGACACUACCACAACAGGACCUGAGUCUUCGUCUUUCUCCUAACCCCUAACCCUAACUGAGGGGCUGAGCUUUACAUGAGGACCUCCAGCCUCGGCCCUUUCUUUGGCCAAACCUUCCAUAGGUGGCCCCUCUACAGUCUACUGCUCCAGCUGGACCCUUAGGUUUUGUCUCACAUCUUGCACUAGCUGCAACCUUAGAAGUGGCUGAAGCCUUUACCACCCUUCCCAUUGACAAAAUGAAAUGAGAAAAUUAUUUUUGUUGCUCAAAUUUUCCCUUGACAGCCUCUUUGCAACUCCAUCACAACUGUAUCACGAUGUUUUGCAUCUUUCCUUACUCUCUUCCCUAGAAGUAGCCAUAGACCUAACCCCAGACAAAACUAGCUGUACCCAAAACAAGCAAACAAAAAAUCAUGAGAUAAUUCUUUUGUUGCUUAAAUUUCCCCUAGACAGCCUCUUUGCACCAUACUCCAAUUAGACCCCUUGGCUUUGUCCCUCUUCUUACCCUAAACCUAGGUUGAACAUCAGUCUGAGACUCCAGGUGACCACCUAGACAGAAAAUUUCACAAAUUUUUGUUGUCCAAGCCUUUAUUUGGUAGCCUCUCUGCAAUGUCAACACAACUGAAGUCCUGGCCCUUACCUCUCUUCUAUGCUUAAGCCUACCAUAGGUGUGCACCCCAAGGGCAGCUCAGGUGAAGAUCAUCUUAGAGGAGAAUUUGCAACUUAGUCAUUGCCUCGGUUAUGGUUGAGACUGAAGUUAGAAGAGAGAAAAUACUUAAAUCUGCCCAGAAGUACAAUAGCAAUUAGGCUGCCAAACCAACUCAUGGUUUUCUGUGGCUUGGUCUUGGUCUAAGGCUUAGUGAAUGUCUAGGUUUAGGAUUGGAGUAUGAUGGUUAGGAGGAAGAUAGCCCCUAGGGAUCCAGUUGGAGAGGGGCUGCCAAGAGGCUACCCACAGAAGGUUUGGCCAACAGAAAUUAGUCUCCCCUAAGAUUUUUGUUUCAGUUGGGGCAAGAGUUCUCUGGGUUUAAAGCUCUGGCCACUUCAAGGGGUCCAGUACAGGGGAGAUGACCAGAGAUUGCUAAGGGAGACGUCAGGCUGCAGAAAGAAUUCCUUCCUGAGAAGUUUUUCAUCCCAGACACAGCUGUCCUGUGUUGCCUCAUUCUCCUAGAACUUUCACUUGCAGCAUAUCAUGUUUAUUUCCAUUAAAACACUUGUUGAGAAGUAUGAAGUGCGUGUGUCGAGAUGUCUUGAUAUCUGUAAACUGAAAACAAAAUUACAAACAAUCCUAUUUAAAAUGGUCUCCAGAUGGAAAAUAAAAAUUAAAAAGAAAUGUCCUGUAAUGUUAUGGAAUACACACUAUGUAUUGAAGGGUACUUGUAGUAUUUGAAAUGAAAUAUGUAAGCAGUAAUGAAACAUGAGACUCAUAACACAAGUUAGUGUAUGGGGGCAAGUAAAAGACCUUCGUAGUGACCUGUAAGACAGGAAUGGCAGGAGUCUAAUACUCUGAUUACAAUCUUGAACACAGUAUGUAGUUUAAAAGUAAGCAGUGACUUUAUAGGAGUCACCUAUGAACAUACAUAGCAUAUUGGUGGUAAUUUAGGAAAAUCCCCUAGUUUUAAUCCAAAACUGAUGGAUGCAUGCUCAGUCCAAAAGCACCCAUCCUAGCUCAGAGGGAAGUGUGCACAUAAAUAAUAGGACUGGCAAUUUCUUGCUGCUGCUGCAAAAUCCCCACAUCUGAAAACUGAAAAGGGACUUGCCCAGAAUUCAGAAUUUCCUGGGGUUUUAGAACUUCAAGUUUCACAUUCUCUGAAAUCCAGAUUUUGGAUUUUGUCUUCUGGCCCCAGUUAAACUAGUUGAUUUUAUCUUUAGAUGUGUAGUGCCUGAUGCAUAAACUGAAAAACAACCUUCCUCUUCUAAUAUAUUUUCAUGGGGGGGGGAUAACCCUGGCAAAUACAUCUGGAGAUAGUUCUUCCUUUGCACUGAGAAAAUAAGCUAACACCUCACAGGGGCUUCAUAAACCUGAUGGUGUUUUCAUAACACAGCUGGGGUAGGAACUGUAUGUAUCACACUACUGUAAUAGUGUUAUUCUCAUUCUCCUAAUGUAUCUCAAAAAUAAUUGCUCCCUAUUGUUGUACUGUAGCCAUGAUGAGAUGCAGUUAUUUCUAUGAUUUCUAUUUGUUAUUAGGAUCUCUAUUGUGUGCAGCUGCUGCACAUUGCAGCCUCCAUUUCAGCUCUGAGUAUCAUUUAACUUCUCUGCCUUUCACGUUAAGAGAGGACAGAAAUUCAAAGGGGGGAUGAUCACCAACUCAUAUGGCAGCCCAUGUGUACAAAGAAAUGGCAACCUGGUUGACAAACCAGCACCUAAACCAACAUUCCCAGCCACAACCAGCCAUAGACAAAAGAUUUUGAUUGUGAGAUGAUACUGAUUAGGGUGUUAUGCAGAAAAAAGAUGGGAAGUUUUGAGGUGUGUGUGGGAGAAAAGGUAUUUAGUAGCCUAUUAGGAUGACUAGGAAGAAAAACAUUUCAUUGAAAAGGAUUUUGAAAAGGAGCAUGUCUGUGUUUGUGUAUUCACCUGUGUACUUUGGCACAGAAAAUAGGAGCUGAGGGUCAAGGGCAGAGAAAGGCGCCAGGAGCCCUUCAAGAAAUGGGGAAACCAGGACAAGGAUACUGGUAUAGAAGCAUCCAAGGGUUGAUUAAAAAUGAGUGUUUGCUAAACGGCAGUCCUCAUCUUCAAGUGGUGAAUUCAUUUAGUUUUAUACCUCCCAAAUGUGUCUUGUGUCUUUCCAAAGUUACCUACAGGGCAGUACAAAUUUAGUGCCUGCUCAAUUUUGUAACUGGACUACAACUGACAGACCAAGAUAACAAAAAUAUUUUUUUCUUGCUUAGUUCUUAAGCAAUACAGACAUGAUUUUUUCCUUCAGAAAGACAGAGGCAUCUGAUCAUCACUCUCAUUCACUGUGGGUUCUGUAUUACAUUUGGCUCUCCAGCCUUGGGUUGUGGCAAACCAAAGACUGUGACUUUUUCAUUUCAGUCUGCUUGCAGAUCCAGUUUAUUGUCAUUAUACAGCUGACAGCAAGCACAAAGUGUUGCUCUCCAGGUCUUGUCUGUAUCUAGAUGAAAGGAGACCCAUCUCUCUAGCACUUACUUAGCACUUUGUUUUCAGCAAUCCCGUGUAAACUUCUACUGCAAUAAAAAAUUUCAAAAUCCCUUCUUUGUCUUUGCUUCAGUGGAAAAAUAAUGAAUAAUACUCAGAUAUGCUCCUUACGCUUGCUCAACAAUUUUCCUGUCCAAUGAACAACUUCUUUUCAGGGCCAAAUAGAUUAAAUACUCUUUGGUCUUUUUCCCCUGUGGAUCUAACUGACAUAGUUUCUUCCUUUACAUAUAGCAACUGAUUGACGUAUAUCUAGGUUUAACAGGAAUAGGUUAGCUUUAAUUCUAAAAAUAAACAAUAGAAACAAUGAAUUUGUUUAUCAGCACUAAAGACUGAAAGCCAUUCACUGUUCUUCAUGGUAUUUAGCCUUUACCACGUCAAGCACUAUUGAUUUUGAAUAGGGCAAACAAUUUUCACUUGCACAGUAGGCACUCUGAGCUCCCCUAUCUGGUCUCCACUGCAAUUAACAUUGAAAUAACGAUGUGUAACACGUUUGUCACAGAGGGAAGACAUGCAGUAAGUUUUCAGAAAGACAUACUUGGUGUGGAGAUGAAUUAUUUAGGUAGCUUAAAUGUAGAUCUGGGUAAUAAUUCUGUCAUCAAAUGCUAUCUCACCCACUCCCUCUGUCUUCUGCCAAAAUGAUAAAAAACCUGAAAUUAAAUUAUUUUUAAAUACUAGAGUAUUAUUUUAUUUGUACUUACAUGUCCUGUAACAUGGUGAAUUCAAAAAUCUGAAUUUGUCUGCAUAAUUUGAUCUAAGCAUGUAUUUAACACACAAUCUGUCUGACUAAUGGCAGGUACUAAACUUUAACAUUAAGAGAUCCAUAUGAAUCCUACUCACAAAGAUUCUUGAGUGAUGCAUCUGCAAACUUGGAAUUUGCAUGCACAUAUUCAAUAUUUUGUUAAUAAAUCAUAACAUUUGCCCUUUCUGGUCCUGUGAUAUUCUUCCAAUAUGUUUGGUUGCUGAGUAGCUAGGAAAACAUGCUCACAAAUGGUAAGCAGGAAAAAACUAAGAAAAUCCAACUAAUUUUGGUGAAUAUUUCUCUGUCAGUUCUAAUGCUCCAGUACUGCAUCUGGGGCCAUAAAAUUGCCUCAAGUAAUCCCAAUUAAGAAUUCCCAUUUUAUGAAUUGAAAUUCCAGCUCUUAAAUUCCUUAUAAAACCAUGCAAAGCACAACUUUUUUACCAUAGCAUGCCAAUCAGUAUCCAUACCUAGUGAUUCUGGUUAUGCCUCUUAUGCCCCUGGCAGUGCAUUAUUUUUCACGUUAAUUGCAAUGCAACAACAGAAACUUCUCACUUAGAAAUUUUGCUUAAUGUGUAGGCAAUUAGUUUUUUUAUGGACUACCUUACUAAUGUUAGUGGUGGUAUACACUACUUUUCUUGUUAAAGAAGUAUCACUAUAAAUUGAAAUUUAGAUUGAGUAGAAUAUCAAUAAAAUAUUAUAUCUAUGCAGAAAAUAUGAUACAGGGUAUCUAGAAACGUCUCUAACUACACAUAAAAAAAAAAAAAAAAGAAGAAUGAGCUUAUUGGGCUGGAAUGUCAAACAAUAAAUUGUGAAAUCUGAUGUGCAUUUCUUUGCAUUUUUGUUUGGUUUUAUGGUAAUCCAGACUCAGGCUUUAUCUUCACACUCACAUGCUUGUUCUAAAUCUGGCACACACAUCUGUUCAUAUGCAUUCUCAUGUAUGUCCUUUCAUUAUUUUGACCUAUUUAACAAGCGUGAUGAGGGAAAAGUGAGCAGAAUGCUUUUACAUCUGCAUUUGAACUGCACCACUCCGUGUGUGUCUGCGUGUGUGCAUGUGAGCGUGUGCAAGCCUGUGUGUGAUGGCUGGAGACAACUUGCCUGUGCUGAGUUCAGACACCAUGUACACAAGCUUGCAAUUUAAUAUUAUGAAUAUCUACUUUCGGGUUUUUGUUUUUCAGACAAGGCGUUUGGGCACGUUGUGUUUAGAACCAUCUCACUUGGCGUUAAUUUUCUGCAGCUAAUUCCCUUUAGUGUCUCAUUUAAAUUCAUGCCAAUUGCUGUGUAUUUGAAGCUGAAGGUCUCCCUUACAUAAUAAUGUUGAGCACAGCCCCACGACAUGCCUCCAUGAUGUUGGUUGUCCCUAGAUGCAUCUGGAAUACACAUGGUGCCAUGUCUGCCCAGAACCAGCCUUGCCCGGACCCACAGGGAGCAGUGAGCUGUGCCCUUUCUUCACAUUCCCUUGUUUUUAUGUACGGGGAGCAGGAGGUUGUGGGGUCAAGAGAGGUGCUAAUGAUAAAAUUAAGACACAUGAUGCUGGAUGCAAUCAGAGUGUGUAACACAGCACUGAGCACCUCUGCUUUGCCACUCUCUUGUCCCAAUUCCCCACUCACAGAAUGCCCCCCCUUUUUGGUGUGGGGGCAGCUGGCAUAUCUGUGGCACUCCAGACCUGGUUUUAAAUGAAGGCUUAAACUGUGCUUGCAGUCUCCUUUUGGUAUAAAUUGUUUUCAUGGCCAAUGAAAUUACGAACCCAAGAACAAUGGUCACAAUCAUAUUCAUUUGUAUCUUUAAAUUGUCCUUCUGAUGGUUAAACCAGUAUUUAAACAGGUUUCCUUUUGGUUUCCAAACUUAAUCUCAUAGCAGAUAUAUAUAUAUAUAUAUAUAUGUAUAUAUUUUUCCACAGCACACCAAGAAAGGCAGAAAGGCUGAGUGCAUUUUUUAUUUUACUUUUAGAUCUAUUCUACUGUGAAAGAAAAGCAUUUAUAUUUUCAAAGUGGUGGAUUUAGCAAAAUGGGUGGAUUUUCUGCCAGUAUUAUUUGAACUUUACACAAUUACCUGUCUUAAAUUUUAGCAGAUAUUUUCCUGCCUGAAAUGUAUAUAACGGUAUAUUCCUCGUACAUUACUUGUUUCAUAGUAAUUUGGGAUGUGUUCAAUAGCACAGUUUUAAAUACAAUCUGCCAGACAACAGUUGUUUUCUGUUAAUCAUCUUAGCUGAAAUAAUAGAAAUACUUUAAAUUGUGAAUGCCAACUGUUCUUUUAAAAGCCAAAAACUAAAUAUGUUCUGUGCCUGCCUGUUCAUUUUAGUGAAAUAAAAUGAAAGUAUUGUGAUGAUUAGGUAUUUUGGGGCACCUUACAGAAAUGCUACUGUAUUGCAGAACAUAAUGAGGUAUUUUUUUUCUCCCAGGAAUUACACAAAUUAGAAAGAAAAAUUAGUCACCCAGGUGUGCUAGAUGACUCCACAAUGAAGCAUAAUGCUUGAUGGUAGCUGAAGCAGAGAUGCUAAAUUACUGUGAAACUUUUUCUUUUUUUUUUUUUUUUUAAUUCCUUUUAUUUUUAGCUGUGUUUGUGUUCCUCCUAUUUAUUUAAGAAAGGGUUGAAAACGGAAUUUCAGUUUUCCAAAAUUUUAAGUCCUUAUUAUGACUCAUCCUGUUAGUGACAACUGCGGGAUUAUAUGCACGUUGGGGCAAAGCCACUUGAAUUCAAAGAAUUUAAGUCUGCGGAUGGCAAUACUGUUGUGGGAUCUUUCAGGAAGAUGAAAGGCCAAGAGUGAGAUCUGAUUGAUUUAAAGAACAGAGAUCUUUUUGCCUUGGAUUUGGAAAGGGGAAACUACUAACUCUGAGGAAAAUAACUAAAAUUAAUUUUAUACUAUUUAUAAGAUUUUGUCCAGGAUAAGUCUUUUUGGAGAAAAAAUGUUCAGGGCUUUUUGGAGUCUCUGAGUUUCUGCUGGUAACUCUUUAUAUCCUCCAGCAGCUGGCUGCCUUUUUCAGAAAUGUCAUGGAUGCUAAAGAUUUGUCUUAAUCCCAGUCUGAAGCUUUCUACCUAAUCAAAGGUUGAAUAGGUAUUGUGCUUCCUACCUUACUAAAUGCUUGCUGAGAUUAUCCCAUCACUUGUUAUGCUUAUUAUCACUGUAUCCCCAAGAAACCAUCCUCUGUGAUGUGGUGCUUUCAGAAGUAUUAUUUCAUCAUUGAAAAGAUGGAUUCCAAACGAAAAGGCACUUGUUACAGAAAUGACAUUUCAUCUCAGGAAGAUAAAAGCAGCUGCCUGUGGCUAGGUCUGGAUUGUGCUACUUUGCUUGCACUUCCCUAUUGAUUUUUGAGCUUCAGGCCUUCCUUUGGCCUAAAAUAGGGGAUAAUGUGAAUUCAGAGGGAUUGCAACCAUAGAAAGAGCAGAGACAGUGUGAGAUGGAGGUAAAGAUCAGUUCUUGAAGUUCUUAGAAGAUGUUAUCUGGAGAGAAUCAGGGGCCAGGGAGAAAAGAGAAAGUGGGAUGAAAGGUCAUACAGAAGGAAGGAAGAUGAGACCAAACCUUGAAGGACUUGUCCAUACUGUGGUCAUACGUGAUAAAUCUGUGUCCUAUACCACUGAGGAAAUGCCAUAGGCAAUCUAUCUUGGCAGUUUAUGAUAACAACAAAGUCUGGACUCUGUGGGUGUAGGAUUCCAACAAAAGUGGUUUGGCCUCUGUCUGGGCUUAGAAAAAAAUAUUCUACUGCAGUUGUCUUUAUCAGGCCCUCACUGUCCAUAUGCCUAAAGAAUGUUUUGACCUUGUAACAGCUCUGAGUCAACAUGUAAAUUAAGAGAACUCCUAUUAAGCAAAGAAGGACAUAGAAACUCAAAAGGCUCAGUGAGAGGAUAUAAUCUGAAUAAAGUUACAGUUACUCAGAUGCUCUGCACCCAUUCAUUCAACUCUACCCUGAAUUGUGAAUGCCCUAAACUUCUGCAGUGAGGCCACCUCACAGAUCAGUGCAGCAUGAUCUGCAAAGUGCCUCUGACCUUGUAGGAGGUGCUGGCUUCACUCCUUCUGGAAGGGACCACUCUGGCUUGGACUGCCAAAUAGAAUAGAGAAGUCAUGCUUUGUUCUAUCAUGUCCUUUUUAGUCCCUGCAAAAAAAAAAGUAUCUACUGCUGAUAACUGAUUUCUCUGCUAUAGUAUAAGUGGCAAAGAGCAUUUGAGACCUAGAAUCGGUACAUGCCUUUCUUAGAGAUGUGGGAAUUCUCUCAACGUCCUGCUCCCUCUUCCUUUAUGAAGUUGAGCUCCAUCCUCUGACUGAUGUUCACAUCUGGCAGCAUCAGGGUGACUUAAUAGUGUCACUGUCAGGGUUUCUGAGAAUUAGAUUCUGUUAAAAAUGUGCUGAAAGGUAUUUUCUAGUGAAAAAAAGUGUUGAUGAUACAGGAGCUGAUGCUUUCUGCCUGAUUUCUCCUGCUCAAGGGCUCCCUGGUAUAUGCAGCCUCUGAGGCAGACACAUUCCUAACCCCUCUGAAUCAACAGCUCCCCAGAUAUUUGGCCUAGUAUGCCUUUGGCUCCCCAGCAGCUGGCAGCUUGGAUGAUUAAGAUUUUGUAAAGAUUUACUUCAAUUUUCCCAAAAACAUUUUUUGACAUUUCCUUUCAGCAAAAAGCUGGCAUUUUUUCAUGACAGAAGGAUUUUCCAUCAUGCCAUCCACAUGCAAGAUUCUUCUUUCAGAGUGGGGCAUUUCUGACUUCCAGCAUGGUACACCAGGCAUUGGGGAUCUCUGUGCUUGGUCUCCCAGGCCUUCUAGUUGGUAUGUCGUAUUGUGGAAGAGGAGUAAGUAUGCUCAAUAUCUGAGUGUUGACAGGUCUACAGCUGCAAUCAAAAUAUGGCUUUUGCAGAGAAAAGACACCCCUUUAUUUGACAUAUGUUUGAUCUAUCAGCUUAAUCAGUGCAGGUUAGCACAGAGGACAUGUGACAUGGUCAUAAAGUAGUCCAUCACACUGGGGCCUGUGCCAGCUCCAAGAAGAUGUUCUGGGAAAAACUGAAGGUAGUAUAAGGGCUUGAGGUCUGUUAGCCUGACCUGAAGAAGCUAGUGCUUCUGGACCUCUCCUUUUGCCUCAAGGCGUCAUUUCUAAAACAGACGAAUGAGAGACAUCUUAGAGAUACCUCAAUCACUAUUCAAACCUAGAUCCCCUGAACUAGGGAAGCACAAGAUUUUUUUUAUUUGAUGAUCUAAAUCAGCAUUAAAAAUAUUUUGGUGAGGCUUUCUGAACUGAGAGGCAAAGCCAAGUGUAAAUUAAAGAACUGAAUAAUUUAAAGCAACACAUCUGUCUUAAAAACUCAGUUGUUCAAAAACAUUCUUAUCAUUUUUGACAAUCUUUAUUAUUUAUUACAAAGAAGUUCUAGCCUGGGUUGGGUCCUGACUGGAUUUCGUGCUAUAAAAUAUGAGAUGAAGUGAGGCCUUCCACAAAGAGUUUGGAAUAGAAGUUUAAAAUGCCACAACAGAUAAAGAAAACAGGCAGGAAGAUUAAUGGGGGAUCUUACUGAUUUUGAUCGGUAGCACACUGAGAUCUUAUCUCACAUACCUACUCAACAGCUCAGAAAAUAAAGGAAAGAGGGAAGAUUUGAAGGAUUAAUUUGGAAGGGUAGCACAGGAAAGCUAUGUUUACUAAGUAAGGAGGGCAGCAAAUGCAUCACAACUGUUUAUUCAAUAUCUUAUUUUCUCAUUGUUUCCCUUGUAGCCUUAUGCUCUGGUGAUCACUCAAACCUUGUUCCAAGUUGUUAGAACAGUUCCUGACAUGGUUUUGGCUCAUGCCAGUUACUCUUUGACAAUUCCUGAGCACAGGAGUUAAGCCAGGCCAGGAACUAGUCCAAGCAGACACUGUGGAGAAGUCCAUGCUGUUUUGGAAGCUGUGCUGAACAAUAUGGGCAGACGUCCUCCAUACAGUUGGUCCUGGGUGCAGUGAGUGAUCCUGGGAGCAUUAAAUAUCUGUAGCCUGUAAGUUCACAACACAGCUCCCACUGGCUCCAGUUAUACUUGGAAGCGGACCAGUAUUCUCCAUAGUAGAUCUCAGGUUGUCAAGCAUACGACUCCUGUUAUGGGUCACUGACUGUGAAAUGUUGGUUUGAGUGUCUGGCUUUGUAUCACAUAGACAGUCUAUGGCUGAAAAAGGGACAGAAUUCAAUUCUCCAGUCUCUUAAAUGUAAAUUCCCACUUUAUUUCUCUUGUUAUUUCUUUCCUCUAUUAUUUCUUCCCCUUUGUAUUGACUGGGGAGCAGAUGAAAAAUUAUCUAAACUAGGAGAGAAGACCCAUGUAUUUUUCUGUUCUCUCUGGAUCAUUUAGUUGAUAAUUCUCACAUUCUAAAUGUGUAUACUGGGGAGCAGUGAUCUUCUGAUAUUCCCCUUUUCUUAUUGUCACCAGUUCUUUUUCACUUCCCCCAAUGUCUUAAUCAAUUGAGUAUAGAGUCAGUCCCUACUUGCUUGCACUCUUGGCCAUAUGAUUCUUACUUUUUUUCCUGUACACUGGCUUGUUCCAACAGAGGUUUCAGAAACUGAUCUGGGGUGAACUGAGCAAGUGUCUUUUAAACUGGGGUGAGUUGCUCAGGGGUUAGAAUAUUUCCUGCAAGAUAAGAGUUGUGAAUUCAAAGUGCCUUUGAAGUGCUAGAACCACUUCAUAAGUGUUGCUUUUAUGAAAAGCAUGGGCAUUCCCAUGAUCAACAGAUACUAGCACUAGUGUGUGAUCACUCACUGCAUUUUGUCUUUUACUGUGCACCUCUGAGAACUGCUUUCUAUGAUCCAGUUUAGGCAGCAGAGGAUGGUCUCUUUCAGGCCUCUUUUCUGCCGCUAAAUAAAUCCUUUUCCUUUAGCCUCUCUUUUCCCAUGCUUUAGACCCUUUGUUCUCUCGUUGUGCCUCCAGAAGACUCUCUCCAGUUUGCCUUAUAUGGAAAUGUCCCAAACCAUACAGAAUAUUCCCGGUAAGAGCUCAUGAGUGAUAAGUAAAGGGAAAUAAUCACUGCCUUUGAUUUGCUGGCUAUCUUAUUGCUAUAUAUGAUUAGCCUUCAUAGCUGCAAUAAUAAUCUGCUCAUUCAUGUUCAUCUUGUCCACCAUGACCCUCCAGAAUAUUUUCUGCAGAGCUGCUAUCCAACCAAACAGUUCCCAACCUCUGUUGUCACAUGAGGUUAUUCCACCCCAGGUGCAGGACUCCGUGUUUGCCUUUGUUGGGUUUCAUGACUGUCUCAUUUCUCCAGACUUUGAAUCCCUUUGAGUGACAGUCCUGCCUUCCAGUGUGUCAGCUGCUUCCUCCAGUUUAGUGUCAUGCUUGAGGUUGCUAAAGGUGCCUUUCUUCACAUCACUUGGGUUCCUGUUGGAGAUGUUACACAUAUUACCUCAGUAUUGACUCAAGAAACACACUCAUAACUGGCCACCAGCUUUGCUUCAGACCAUUGAGUACAACCCUUCAAGCCAGUCCAGCAGUCCACCAACCUUGCGUCCACCCACUCCUAAGCUAUGAAGACACUGUGGAAGAGUAUCUCAAGGCCUCACUGAAAUAAAGGCCUGAGAGUGGAUACUAACAAUGCAGAAAGGAGAAUGUACAGAAGAUGACUUCUGUAGCAUGAUAUCUCCCACAAAUGGUGACCAAGACCCUCUACUGGACCCAUCUAUGGAAGUCUUGCAAGACCACAUGAAAAGAUUGUUGUAGAGCUUACACUGGAAAGAAUCCAAUUAAAAAGUAGUACCUAGAAAAAAGUAAGUUUGCUUUCCUAGUAUGGUGGCUGGGGAGAUAAACCAGUCUGUGUCUCUCGGUCUGUUUACUUGCCUUUUAAAAGUACAUAAAGACUUGCUCUCGAAAUCCUCUUUGACAAGAUGCGUAUCAUGCUACGUUUAACUAAACAAAGUAUACAAACAAAAGGCUCCUUAGUUUUCAUAAUUGUGAAAUCCUCAAACCAGUGCAUGCAUGUUUCCCAGCCUAGACUGGGGCAUGCUUAGGCCAGUUCAAAGGCAUGUAGAGAGCAGACCCAGCAGUUUCUCUGUCUUUGAUUUUGAUUAAAAUUAACUUUUUUCUUUCCAGCACAUACAGGAGGUUGACAAAAGGACACCCUUCCUUUUAUUGUUUCAUUCGGUUGUACUUCUAGAUCUCUAUGUCUUUUCUGUUUUGGGUUUCCCAGCAGUUACUGUGUUAUGGUUCCUUGGGCCUACCUUAAUAAAUAUCUGCUUUCA